GAUGAACGCUGGCGGCGUGCCUAAUACAUGCAAGUCGAGCGAAUGGAUUAAGAGCUUGCUCUUAUGAAGUUAGCGGCGGACGGGUGAGUAACACGUGGGUAACCUGCCCAUAAGACUGGGAUAACUCCGGGAAACCGGGGCUAAUACCGGAUAACAUUUUGAACCGCAUGGUUCGAAAUUGAAAGGCGGCUUCGGCUGUCACUUAUGGAUGGACCCGCGUCGCAUUAGCUAGGUGGGGAGGUAACGGCUCACCAAGGCAACGAUGCGUAGCCGACCUGGGAGGGUGAUCGGCCACACUGGGACUGAGACACGGCCCCGACUCCUACGGGAGGCAGCAGUAGGGAAUCUUCCGCAAUGGACGAAAGUCUGACGGAGCAACGCCGCGUGAGUGAUGAAGGCUUUCGGGUCGUAAAACUCUGUUGUUAGGGAAGAACAAGUGCUAGUUGAAUAAGCUGACACCUUGACGGUACCUAACCAGAAAGCCACGGCUAACUACGUGCCAGCCGCCGCGGUAA
rnacentral:rRNA from 1 species